rnacentral:rRNA from 1 species
UUAGAGUUUGAUCCUGGCUCAGGAUGCAUGCUGGCGGCGUGCCUAACACAUGCAAGUCGAACGGACUCAUAUUGAAGCCUAGUGAUUUAUGAGUUAGUGGCGGACGGGUGAGUAACGCGUGGAAAACCUGCCGUAUACCGGGGGAUAACACUUAGAAAUAGGUGCUAAUACCGCAUAAGCGCACAGCUUCGCAUGAAGCAGUGUGAAAAACUCCGGUGGUAUACGAUGGUUCCGCGUCUGAUUAGCUGGUUGGCGGGGUAACGGCCCACCAAGGCAACGAUCAGUAGCCGGCCUGAGAGGGUGAACGGCCACAUUGGGACUGAGACACGGCCCAAACUCCUACGGGAGGCAGCAGUGGGGAAUAUUGCACAAUGGGGGAAACCCUGAUGCAGCGACGCCGCGUGAGUGAAGAAGUAUUUCGGUACGUAAAGCUCUAUCAGCAGGGAAGAAAAUGACGGUACCUGACUAAGAAGCCCCGGCUAACUACGUGCCAGCAGCCGCGGUAAUACGUAGGGGGCAAGCGUUAUCCGGAUUUACUGGGUGUAAAGGGAGCGUAGACGGCAGCGCAAGUCUGGAGUGAAAUGCCGGGGCCCAACCCCGGAACUGCUUUGGAGACUGUGCAGCUUGAGUGCGGGAGAGGUAAGUGGAAUUCCUAGUGUAGCGGUGAGAUGCGUAGAUAUUAGGAGGAACACCAGUGGCGAAGGCCGCUUACUGGACCGUAACUGACGUUGAGGCUCGAAAGCGUGGGGAGCAAACAGGAUUAGAUACCCUGGUAGUCCACGCUGUAAACGAUGGAUACUAGGUGUGGGGGGACUGACCCCCUCCGUGCCGCAGCUAACGCAAUAAGUAUCCCACCUGGGGAGUACGAUCGCAAGGUUGAAACUCAAAGGAAUUGACGGGGGCCCGCACAAGCGGUGGAGUAUGUGGUUUAAUUCGAAGCAACGCGAAGAACCUUACCAGGGCUUGACAUCCUACUAACGAACCAGAGAUGGAUUAGGUGCCCUUCGGGGAAAGUAGAGACAGGUGGUGCAUGGUUGUCGUCAGCUCGUGUCGUGAGAUGUUGGGUUAAGUCCCGCAACGAGCGCAACCCUUAUUGUUAGUUGCUACGCAAGAGCACUCUAGCGAGACUGCCGUUGACAAAACGGAGGAAGGUGGGGACGACGUCAAAUCAUCAUGCCCCUUACGUCCUGGGCCACACACGUACUACAAUGGCGGCCAACAAAGAGAGGCAAGACCGCGAGGUGGAGCAAAUCUCAAAAAGCCGUCCCAGUUCGGAUCGUAGGCUGCAACCCGCCUGCGUGAAGUUGGAAUCGCUAGUAAUCGCGGAUCAGCAUGCCGCGGUGAAUACGUUCCCGGGCCUUGUACACACCGCCCGUCA